AGUCGAACGCGUGUAGCAAUACACGAGUGGCGCACGGGUGAGUAACACGUGGGAACCAACCCUGAGGUUCGGAAUAACCGCGGGAAACUGCGGCUAAUACCGGAUGUCCCCUACGGGGGAAAGAUUUAUCGCCUUGGGACGGGCCCGCGUCCGAUUAGCUAGUUGGUGAGGUAAUGGCUCACCAAGGCUCCGAUCGGUAGCUGGUCUGAGAGGACGACCAGCCACACUGGAACUGAGAUACGGUCCAGACUCCUACGGGAGGCAGCAGUGGGGAAUAUUGGGCAAUGGAGGCAACUCUGACCCAGCCAUGCCGCGUGGGUGACGAAGGUCUUCGGAUUGUAAAGCCCUUUUGGCGGGGACGAUGAUGACGGUACCCGCAGAAGAAGCCCCGGCUAACUUCGUGCCGGCAGCCGCGGUAAUACGAAGGGGGCUAGCGUUGUUCGGAAUUACUGGGCGUAAAGGGCGUGUAGGCGGCCCGUUAAGUCAGGUGUGAAAUUCCUGGGCUCAACCCAGGACGUGCGCCUGAGACUGGCGGGCUUGAGUCCGGGAGAGGAUGGUGGAACUCCCAGUGUAGAGGUGAAAUUCGUAGAUAUUGGGAAGAACACCCGUGGCGAAGGCGGCCAUCUGG
rnacentral:rRNA from 1 species